CCUACGGGUGGCAGCAGUGGGGAAUAUUGCACAAUGGGGGAAAGCCUGAUGCAGCAACGCCGCGUGAGCGAUGAAGGCCUUCGGGUUGUAAAGCUCUGUCCACAAGGAAGACAAUGAAGGUACUUGAGGAGGAAGGCAUGGCCAACUACGUGCCAGCAGCCGCGGUAAUACGUAGGGGGCUAGCGUUAUCCGGAAUUACUGGGCGUAAGGGGUGCGUAGGUGGUUUCGUAAGUCAUAGGUAAAAGGUAAGGGCUCAACCGUCUAGGGCCUGUGAAACUGGGGAGCUGGAGUGCAGGAGAGGAGAGUGGAAUUCCUUGUGUAGCGGUGAAAUGCGUAGAUAUUAGGAAGAACACCAGUUGCGAAGGCGGCUCUCUGGACUGUUACUGACACUGAGGCACGAAAGCGUGGGGAGCAAACAGGAUUAGAUACCCGAGUAGUC
rnacentral:rRNA from 1 species